GUGGAGGGCCCUGUGAUGUGGGUGGUCCCCGAGGUGCCCAUGGAAGUCCAGGCAGUAGGAACCGUGCUGGGACUGCUGGGGGGCAGGGAUCGCCCAUAUGUGGUGGCUGUGGUGGUCAGCACUAAGGAUGUGCCAGUGGUCCCCGGGGCAGCAGUGGGAGUUGCUGGGGUGAUGCUGGCGGCAGGUGUGGUGGCCGUGGUGGUCAGCCCUCCGGAGAUGGGAGUUGUCCCUGGUGUGGAGGAGGGGGUGAUGAUGGAACCAGUGGCUGUGAGCAUGGUGGCCACAGUGGUCAGUGCUGUUGGGGGACUAGUAGUCUGUGGGGUUGUGGAGUGUGUUGUCCUGGAGCUAGUGGCCACAGCAGCGGUGGUGUUGGUCAGCAAUCCAGGGGUUUGGGUGGUCCCUGGGAUGGAGGAGGGUGUCACUGUGGAGCCAGUGGUCGUGGGUGUGGUGGUGGUGAUCAGCCCUGGAAGGGUACGUGCAGUCCCUGGACUGGAGGAAGGGGUGGCUGUGGAUCCAGUAGCCGCAGUUGUGGUGGCUGUGGUGGUCAGCACUAUGGGGGGCUGAGCAGUCCCUGUGGUGGAGGAGGGGGUGGCUGUGGAUCCAGUGGCCACAGUUGUGGUGGCUGUGGUGGUCAGCACUAUGGGGGGCUGAGCAGUCCCUGUGGUGGAGGAGGGGGUGGCUGUGGAGCCUGUGGACACGGUCACGGUGGCUGUAGUGGUUGGCUCUGUAAGGAUCCAGGUGGUCCGUGGAGUGGAGGAGGGGGUGAUGAUGGAGCCAGUGGCCGGGAGCAUGGUGGGCGUGGUGGUCAGUGCUGUCGGGGGACUAGCAGUCUGUGCGGUUGUGGAGGGUGUUGUCCUGGAGCCAGUAGCCACAGUAGUGGUGGUGUUGGUCAGCACUCCAGGGGGUUGGGUGGUCCCUGGGAUGGAGGACGGUGUCACUGUGGAGCCAGUGGUCAUGGGUGUGGUGGUAGUGAUCAGCCCUGGAAGGGUGGAUGCAGUCCCUGGACUGGAGGAGAGGGUUGCUGUGGAGCCAGUGGUUGCCGUCGUGGUGACACUAGUAGGAAAUGGGGUGGAGGAUGGUGUGGCCAUGGAGCCAGUGGCCACAGUAGUGGCUGUGGUCCCUGGGCUGGAGGAGGGGGUGGCUGUGGAGCCUGUGGACACGGUCACGGUGGCUGUAGUGGUUGGCUUUGUAAGGAUCCAGGUGGUCCGUGGAGUGGAGGAGGCCUUGGCCACGGAGCUGGUGGCCAAAGUCUUGGUGACCACGGUAGAGGAUAGAGUGGAGGAGGGUGUGGCCGUGGAGCUGGUGGCCGUGGUGCUGGGGCAAUGGCUGUAGUUAC
rnacentral:lncRNA from 13 species